rnacentral:rRNA from 1 species
UACGAAGGGGGCUAGCGUUGCUCGGAAUUACUGGGCGUAAAGGGCGCGUAGGCGGGUCGUCAAGUUGGGGGUGAAAGCCCAGGGCUCAACCCUGGAACUGCCUUCAAAACUGGCGACCUAGAGUAUGGCAGAGGUGUGUGGAACUCCGAGUGUAGAGGUGAAAUUCGUAGAUAUUCGGAAGAACACCAGUGGCGAAGGCGACACACUGGGCCAUUACUGACGCUGAGGCGCGAAAGCGUGGGGAGCAAACAGG